CUAGAAGGUCUGGCAAGGACCAAUACCACUGCCUCAGAAGCAGCAAGGCUAGCUAAGCAGAAGGUAGAACAGCAACAGCAACUGUUAGAACAGCAGAAGCAACAGCUUGAUCAACAAAUAUUGCUGCAUCAACAACAGCAGCAACAAUUUGAACAAGAGAGGCAAAAGGAGCAAACCGUGUCAUCUCUCCAACCCCCUGAAAUAGUUACUGAGAAAAGUGAUGACUAUGAGUCGGCACAGUCAGAUGUUGACGCUGAAAGUAAGCUUUCAAGGCAAAGCACACGGCAGAGAUCCUUGUCUGCCAGUCUGCUAGGCAGAACUCGCCCUAAAGAUUCUUUUGUGGAAGUAGUUAAAAGAU